rnacentral:lncRNA from 1 species
AGCAAGUAUUGUUUGCUAAAUUUACUAUGCCAUAAACAAUAAGAUGUCAAUGUAUUGUACAUAUAUUCUAUCAAGAUGUAGUAUAUCCAAUGCAUGACUACUAUAUCCCAACGUGGCAAGCAAGUAGAUAACAUGAUCCAUUCUAUCAAUAUAUGAUGAUUAUGCUCUAUUAUGCCAACCAAGUAUACUAUGAUGCAACAGGCAAAUUAUCAAGUAUGCUAUAUGUCUCAACACUAUACUAUAAGCAUGUCAAAGUAAUCCAACUACUAAUCCUAUCUAGUAGUGAUUGUCAUUUUCCGGUUCAAUAUCAUUGUUUAAUCAUAUUCUAGGACCUACAUAAAUGUAGUCUAGCUUGUGCCACCUAAGCGUCGAUGGUAGCUCCAGCAUUCUCACUCUAGGAAUGAGUCUAUCCCUCCCGACCCCGUAGGUUUCUCGAUACCGCACGAGCGAGCAUAAGUCGCGUAGGCCAUCUCCGGAGUGCCAGCUUGUAGGGAGCGACCCUCACAAGCAUGUGCGAAUGAGCAUAAAUAGCAAGCAAGCGUAAACAUCGUCUCAAGUACCCAAUCCUCAUGUCUCUAACAUGGUAAUAGUCACUAGCAUCUCAAUGAUCUAGCUCUAGAUCACAAUGUGAAGUCCCAACAUUCACUUAGUCUAGUGCCCCUUUAUGACACUUAGACAUUUCAAUGUUCAAGCAUGUUCCAAUUCUCUCAAUGGCCCUAUCCGCUAGGUACACCAUAACCUAAUCUCAAUGCCGCUUAAUGACAUUAGCUCUCUAAUUCGCAUGCCAAUUUAGUCCAAUGCCCCUUUAUGGCAUUAUAAUAGUUCCAUAUCAAACUAGGGUUCAAGUCCAAUAGCACUUUACAUAUAUCAAUUCUACUAUAUAAAUAGGAACCUAAGUCUCCCAUAAGAAUGCUAAUGCACACAUAAGCCUUACAUGCAAGUUCUCUACUUCAUAGAGGUCCGAAAAUACAAUGUAUGUAACAUAGACAUUUUACGCAUUCUAAAAUUCAGAAAUAUUACAUAUAACAUGAUUAUGCAUGCUUUCUUAUUUUACGAUACUCAAAUCAUCACAAAUGAGAUUUUCUUAUUGUGUGGCUAGGUCAAACCCACCGAAGCGUUUCGGAACCCUUCGUAAGCUCAAACGAAGUUGUCCCCAAGUCCUUUAGCACCCUAAAGGUAAGGGUAGAAGAGAGAAACGAACGUUACGAAAAAUCCCUACCUCGAUCUUUAACCGUCUCAAGAAAAGGGCCAAAACUCACCUUUAAUGAAGAAAUCUCUUCUUAAGCUCCAAAAGAGGGCUAAAACCCUUCCAAUCUAAUCUAGAGGAAGGUUCUAAUCCAAGAGAUUGAGCUCCAAAAGUCCUAGAUCUAAAAAUGCCCAAAAUCAACCGUAGGUUUCCAUUCUAGAGUUUCAUCUCAAAGAAAUCUUCAAAAACCAAAUCUAAAGGAAAAGAUCUUGCUACUAACCUUUUACAGGUUUCAAACAAGGUUCUAAGUCCUCCAACUUUAAAGAUCUUUUCUCAACCAAGCUUCAAAUCCAAGCUUCAAUGGUGGAAAAGCCUCCAACAAGCAAAAGAAGCAAAAAGAGAGGUUUAAUCCACCAAAAUCCAAGUUAAAAGGGGAUCAAAUCCAAAUGGAAGGCACGGAGGAGCUUCUCUUACCUUGUCUCCAUUGAUCUCAGCACAGGGGAGAGCCCUAGUAGCGUGGGUGGUGAUAUAGAAGGCCACAAUUGCAAAAACACCCUUGCAGUUCAAACUACUCAAAAUCUGCCAAAGUGUACCGGUAUACGGGAAAGUGUACCGGUACAAAUCCCGCGAAAAUGCAAACCCGAGCCUUGGAUUGGCAGAAAAAUAGAAGUAUACCGGUACAACCAUCAAGGUGUACCGGUACAAAUCAUGUACCAGUACAACCAGCCACCUGUCACCGGUUUCACCAUAUGCAGAGAGCAAUCCGAGGGUAGCCUAAGUCCAUCUCUUUGAUGACUUUAGCGCUACAUAAAAUAAUACAAAUCUCGGGAUACGAGCCAUAGGUCAGAACACUGUCAACGACCCACCAGAAAAUCUGAAAAAACUCAGAACACACUCAAACACUCGAACCUCGCAAUUUGCAAAGGUCCAGUGUGUUACAUUCACCCCUCCUAAAAAGGAGUUUCGUCCGCGAAACUCGAAAAGUAAAGUACCUCAAAUCUCCAUCUGAAAGAGAUGGGGAUAGCGCUCUCGCAGUGCCCUCUCCAACUCCCAAGUGGCCUCGCGUUCAUCGUGGUUGCUCCAAAGCACUUUCACGUAGGGAAUCUCACGGUUCCGCAGCCUCUUCACCUCACGAGCCAAAAUCCUCACAGGUUGCUCUUCGAAGCACAAAUCAUCCCUCAGCUCCAAAGGUGUGGUGUCUACCACAUGAGCCGGAUCGUGGAUGUACUUCCGGAGGACCGAUACAUGAAAUACAUUGUGUACACCCGAUAGGUUCGGAAGUAACGCAAGUCGAUACGCUACCGGGCCUACACGCUCCAAAACCUCAUACGGUCCAAUGUAUCGGGAGCUCAACUUACCCCGGAUCCCAAAUCUUCUAAUCCCCUUGGUCGGCGAGACUUUCAAGAAGACAUGAUCUCCAAUCUGAAACUCCAAGUCUCGUCGCCGCUUGUCAGCAUAACUCUUUUGCCUACUCUGGGCUGUGAACAAACGCUCUCGAGCAAUGCGAACCUUGUCCUCUGCUUCCUGGAGCACAUCUGGGCCUAAAGCCAAUCUCUCGCCAACUUCACUCCAAUGAAGUGGUGAUCUACACUUUCGUCCAUAGAGUGCCUCGAUAGGUGCCAUCUUGAUGCUUGCUUGAUAACUGUUGUUAUAAGCAAACUCCGCCAUCGGUAGAUGCUGCAACUAUCCUCCGUGAAAGUCUAUCACACAGGCUCGAAGCAUAUCCUCAAGAGUCUGUAUAGUGCGCUCAGAUUGCCCGUCACUCUGGGGGUGGAAAGCUGUACUGAAGUAUAAGCGCGCACCCAAAGCAUCUUGUAAGCUCAUCCAAAAGUGAGACACAAAUCGGGGGUCUCGAUCUGAUACUAUAGAAGUAGGUACCCCGUGCAGUCGCACAAUCUCAUCCAAGUAUACCUGUGCGAGUCUCUCACCAGUCCAAGUAGUGUGAAUAGGUACGAAAUGUACUGAUUUCGUCAGCCUAUCCACGAUCACCGAAAUAGCAUCAUGCCCGGCCUGCGAGCGGGGCAAACCCAUCACAAAGUCCAUGGUGAUCUUCUCCCAUUUCCACACCGGAAUCGGUAAGCUCUGCAAUUUUUCCGCAGGAACUCGGUGCUCAGCUUUCACCUGUUGGCAAGUUAGACAUCUAGCAACAAACUCACCAACGUUCUUCUUCAUCUUGGGCCACCAAUAAAGCAACUUUAAGUCCUUGUACAUCUUGAUGCCUCCCGGAUGUAUAGCAUACGGUGCUCGGUGUGCCUCUUGAAGAAUUUCUUCUCUAAGUGCCGAUUCCGCCGGUACACAGAUCCGUCCACGGAAACGCAUCAAUCCAACACCUUCCACAGAAAAGUCACCGGUGCAACCAUCAAUCAUCUUAGCUCGAAUCCUUUGCAACUCCACAUCGGGGACUUGCUUUUCUUUAAUCCUUUCCACCAGUGUAGGUUGCACCACCAAAGUCAUCAGUCUCAAGGGUGUAUCAGGAGCCACCACCUCCAACUCCAACCGCUUCAUCUGCUCGAUCAACGGUGGUUGAGUAACCACAAGCAUCACUAAGUUUUCCGUCGAUUUCCUACUUAGCGCAUCCGCCACCACGUUAGCCUUGCUCGGAUGGUAAAGAAUAGUCAAGUCAUAAUCCUUGAGUAGCUCCAACCAUCUGCGCUGCCUCAAGUUCAACUCCUUCUGAGUGAAUAAAUACUUUAAGCUUUUGUGAUCCGUGUAGACCUCACAUCGCUCACCAUAAAGAUAAUGGCGCCACAGUUUCAAAGCGAAGACUACGGCCGCCAACUCCAAAUCAUGCGUAGGGUAAUUCCUUUCAUAAUCCUUCAGUUCGCGAGAAGCAUACGCGAUCACUUUUCCGUCCUGCAUAAGAAAACAGCUCAAUCCAUUAAAAGAAGUAUCACUAUAAACCACAUACCCUGCUCCAGCAACUGGUAGGGUCAGGAUUGGGGCGGUUGUCAAUCUCUGCUUCAACUCUUGGAAGCUCCUUUCACACGCAUCAUUUCAAACAACUUGGUGCCUUUAUGCGUGAGCCUCGUGAGGGGAGUGGAUAACCUCGCAAAUCACUCAACAAACCGUCGGUAGUAGCCAGCCAAGCCAAGAAAACUCCGAAUCUCGGUGACACUCGUCGGCCUCGGCCAAUCCUUGAUGGCUUCAAUCUUCCUAGGAUCCACAGCUAUACCUGAUCCUGAAAUCAAAUGGCCCAAAAACGCCACCUCUCUGAGCCAAAACUCACACUUCUUCAAUUUGGCAUAGAGCUCCAUUUCCCAAAGCACUUGAAGUACAAGUCUCAAGUGUUCCUCGUGAUCUGCAUCACUUCGGGAAUGGACCAAAAUGUUGUCGAUGAAUACUAUGACGAACUUGUCUAGAUAAGGCUUGAAAAUACGGUUCAUUAGAUCUAUAAAAGCUACCGGGGCAUUAGUAAGCCCAAAUGGCAUAACUGUAAACUCAUAAUGUCGAUACCGUGUUCUAAAAGCCGUUUUCGACACAUCCUCGGGUUGAUCUUCAACUGAUGGUAUCCCGACUGUAAGUAGAUCUUGGAAUACACACUAGAUCCCUGGAGCUGAUCAAAUAAAUCAUUAAUCCUCGGUAAUGGAUACUUAUUCUUGAUCGUGACUUUAUUAAGUUCACGAUAGUCCACACACAAGCGAAGCGAUAUAUCCUUCUUUUUGACAAAUAGGACCGGUGCUCCCCAAGGUGACACACUUGGUCGCACAAAAUCUUUGUCCAGAAGAUUUUGCAACAUGCCUUUAGCUCCUUCAAUUCUGCUGGUGCCAUCCUAUAGGGCGCCUUCGAGAUUGGAGUAGUCCCGGGAACGAGAUCUAUCACAAACUCAAUCUCCCUAUCAGGUGGCAUGCCUGGAAGCUCUGCUGGAAAUACAUCUCCAAACUCCCGUACUACGGGAAUAUCCUCAAUCCUAGGGGCGUCUGCAUCGCCCUGCAACACAACAGUAGCCAAAUAGGUUACGCAGCCUCUGCUGAUCAACUGUCUAGCUCGAGAGGAGCUAAUCGUCAUCGCAAACAGCGAACUCUGGCAUCCUCGGUACACAACCUCCGUCUGCCCCGGCUUUCUAAAAGUCACCGUUCGAUUCUUGCAAUCGAUAGUGGCGAAGUACUUGGCUAACCAAUCCAUACCUAAUACUACAUCAAACUCUCCAAGUUUGCGCAACGCCAAUAAGUCCGCGGGCAUGAUCCAAUCCCCUACUUGAACAGGGCAACUUGGACAAAUCUCUCUAAUGUCUAAGGAGUGGUCGGGAACUGUUAGUUAUAUGCCCUAUAAGCCAAUCUUGUCAUAACAUAAAGGGUUAAUAUCAGUGUACUUUUCUUUUAUGAUUAAAUCUGGCAUUCUUCAUUCAUAUUAUUGCCAAAUGUAUAUUUAUGAAUCGCCCAUAGAAUUAAUAGUAGAAGAAUUAACUUUCUAAGAAGUUAGAAAUUUGAGACAUAUAUUCUUCUGUAAUUAAUUCUUAAAUGCUCAUGAUCAUAGGAUUAUCACGAGGGCGGUGGUAAAUCCAGAUAGAUCAGUGUAUGUUGUACUUCCCUUAUGGGAUGAUGAGUCUCAAGUCAUUAGUGUGGUGACACUAGAGUAAGCAUACAGGUGAAUGUUGGAGAACAAUUUCACUGAGCGUGACCAACUAUAAACAAUCACAUGGAUGUCUACUCACUCGUCAGUGAAUUGUUCCAUACUGUAGUAGUGUGAGUGAUUCUUUGAUCUGAGGCACCAUGGUUAUCUUGCAUGUGGGUUAUUGUAGUUUGACUGUGUAAAUACUUAUACCCUAAUCAUGGGUUAAGUCAACACAUGUUGGCUGCAGUGGGUCAUACGUGGAGGUAGGUGUGUGUCAAGAUGGAAUCUAUCACCCUCGGUAGAGAGGUAAUUGUCCUCUACUAUCUGUUUUACAAGAUAUAAAAGUCCUUGGCCAAGGCCGUAUGAUUUUAUGGAAAAGAGUUUCCAUAUUGUUAAUCAGAUGAGACAUAUGAUUGAGUAAUGGGGUUUGACGAGUAAUCCAUAACCUCAGCUCAAUCGGGACAAGUGAUAGAAGGAUUUUAUCACACGGUAACUACAUCUAGAGGUUCCGUCUAUUAUUAAUUCUACUUGGAUUGCCGCGAUAUACUGCUAGGCGUCACUCUUGGAUUGUGGGACCCAUAAGAGUAAUUAAGAUAGUUAAUUACACUCAGUUGGGAGAGCCAAAAAUAUUUUGGUCCAUCGAGAAGAGUUCCGAUGGUGACAUUAAAAGAGUUUACUGUCAUAUCUCACUACCAGGUAGAAUUGAACCUAUGUGGUCACACACAAUAAAGGCUGCGUGUGAUCUAGUACUUGGAGAAUUAAUAGAGACUAUUUUGCUAAAGUUGUAAAGCAAGAAUUUAUUUGCUAAGGUGGUUAGCAGAAACUCUAACUUGCAAAAGAUGAAAAUUGUAUGGAGUGACCUAAUACUAAAUUUGAUUUAGUAUGAGAGCUUAUGUGCAAUAGUUGCAACAACUUAUGAAGUGAUAGCUCUCUCUCUCUUUUAAUUAAUCCUUGUAUUAAUAUGUUGGGAGGUGAAGACGAGUAGGGAGAAAAGAAAGAGAAUGAAACCGUGCAUAAUAAUUGUACUAUUAAUGGAAAAGAAAAGAGAACGCUCCUUUUCUUUUCUUCUCUUUGCCUCCAUGCAUAUUAAUUGAGAGGAGUUAAUUUUCCUAAUGCACGUUUCAUUCUCUCCGUUCUUUCUCUCAUUUCCAAACAAAGAGAAACUUUAAUUGUAGUGUAAUUAUAGUGAAAUGAACGUCUUAUUAUGAGAACGCUCCUCUACCUCUAUCUCGUCUCUCUAUAUUUGGCUUCACCUUUAAAUAGAGCAUCUCCCAAUGACGAAAAUAUAGGUGAUUUGAAGUAGAAUACAAACAAAGAGAGAAAGCUUUUCAAUUAUAUAGAGCUCUCUUUUAAUCAUAAGAGAGUGGUCUCCAAUAUUAAUUAGUCUCUAUAGUUAAUCCUCUUCAAAUUGCUAGCACAAUUUUGAGGAUUAAUUUUUCUCCACAUUAACACAAGAAAUCACGAAAGGAGUUUCAAGAUUACACUGUGAUUGUGUGAAGCACAGAUCCCGGAGCAGCCUUGUGUGGAUACACGUAGAGGCCGAACACUUGUGCGGCUCAAAGGACUAGAAGUUCAGAUCCAAAUCAACUGUGAAAUAAUUUCGGUAAUUUGCACAGGUUGAAAUUCGAACCCUUCUUCUAAUUAGAUUAGAAUAAUAAUUUUUGUGUGUCACACGAGAUGAUCUUGGUACAUAUAUAUACUAAUAUCAUAAAUGUUAUGAUAUUAAAGAAUACAUGAUUGGAUCAUAUUUUAUAAAUAAAAAAAAUUAUUUCUGCUGCAUUAAAUGCAUAAAUGCACAUGUAGAUGCAUACAUUUCCUUACAGGAACAACAACACGUCCCGGAUGCAACAAGGAAACAAGUGGGAUGCCAUGCAACUCGACAAACAGCCAGUCUAUAAAUGAAUACGAUGCACCGGUAUCAAAUAAUGCUCGUACUCGAAUACCAUAAAGUAAAAUUAUACUUGCGACCACAUUCUCGGCUGCUGCCGCCUCCUCAGUCUGGGCCACAUACAUGCGCCCGCUCGGGGCCGGUCGUGAUCCCUCCGUCUGCCGCUGAACAGGUGGCUGCCCAGCCUGGUGGUGAGCAGAAAGUGUCCCCUGACUGGGACCUGGUGAUGCUGGUGCAGAUGCCGAUGAUGGCGCUGGCGCCGAACUCCUCGGGUAGUCCGACUGGAAGUGGCCCUCCUGGCCACACAAGAAGCACCUGCCCAGACUGCGUGAACACUGUCGUGGAUAAUGAGGACCACCGCAGAUCACGCAGCGCGGAGCCUGACGACGAUCAGGUCCUCCUCACUGAGUAGAUGAGCCACGUUCCCGCGACUGGCUCCGGCUCCUGGGGUGCCUCGGCGACCUCCGUGAGUGCAUCUGGCUCGCACCCUCAGCUGCGGGCCUCUUGCCCUUCCCCUUCUCCAAGCCCUUGCGACGCUUCUGAAGGUUUGCCCCUCCAGCCUCCACAAUGAGUACACGGUUCACAGCCUCCCGGUAGGUUUGGAGGUUGGAGGACUGCACGAACCGGAAGAUCGAAGGCCGCAAUCCACGCUAAAAAAUGCGGGCCUUGUCCUCGUCAUCUCGUACCACAAAAGGUUCACAGUGGAGUAGCCGAGAAAACUCCCUCUCGUACUCAGCCACUGUCUACUCUUCCUGGCACAGGCUGCGCAGGUCCUGCUCCAUCUUCCUCUUGAUGCUGGUGGGGAAGUAGUGUGCCAGAAGAAGCUUCUUGAACCUCGUCCAAGAAAUCACUGCAAAAUCAGUGUUGGGGUUGUCCUGGAUGUCCAACCACCAUCUGUAGGCCUCGUCGUCCAAAUGAUGUGUGGCGAGCCACACUCGAUCCCUCUCCUCGAUAAAGGUGUCCCGAAAUAGCUGCUCCAUAUGCAUCAGCCACUUCUCAACAAUCCAGUGGUCGACCUUCUCACCAUCAAAGAUCCUCGGGCUACACCUCCUAAACUCACUGAGGCGCCCCAUAAGUCGAUCCCGCUCGGCUCCCUAGGCCAUCACAGGGAAAGCUGCCCUCGCCGCAGGUAUCUGAACCGGUGGUACUGUAACCACCCCCUCCCGAGGUGCGAUCUCGGGCGCCGCACGUGAAGAACUGGGCGCGGGGGAUUGCGCCCUCAGCGCGACGUCCACAACGGGCGCUGGUGGUGUGGGAACCUGAGUCUCUCUAGAAGCUGCCGCCUGCUAUAGCAAGAGAUCCUCCAGGUGCUUCAUCCGUGCCUCCUGCCGCUGUGCCACCUCGGCCUGUCACUGAGCGGCCGACGCCUGCUGUGCUACAAGAUCAGUGAGGACCGCAAGCUGGGACCUCAAAUCGCGGACCUCGCUAGAUCCGGAAGUAGCGGAGGUCUCAACCUCCUCGAGGUGUGCCACAUCAUCCGCUCCGGCAGAUUGAAAGCGUAUAAUCGGCAUCGCCACUACAAAACAUAAAAGCGCAAGUUAGUAAAACCCACGCUAUCGCAUCCCCGCUCAAGGUAGACAAAACCCAAAUCUUGCGAAAGUAAGGAAAUGUUCUUCACUACUAACUCCCGAUGUUACGUUGUCGGCCGCCAACGUAACCCUCCGCGAAGUUAGAAGCCAUACACUCCAAUCAACUCUAACUUUUUAGAGUUAUCAUAAAACCCAAUCGAAACACUUUCGCUUACAAGUCAAAUAGAUCUCGUCUCUCACGAGCCUAUAUCCUAUAGUCCAACUGGUCUAAGGUUUGCUAGGUCCACUAAGACUCAACCCUAGGCUCUCAUACUAAACUAAUCUGUCACGCCCCGGGACCGGCGGAGGCCCUUCCGGUAGCGCGUCCAGACCGGCCAUAUAUCAACACAUAUCAACCGUCUACAACAACAGCGAAAAAUAAAGCCAAAAGUAAUCUACAACUAGAGAUAUCAGAGCAAGAGUAGAUCUAUCAUCUGUAACAAGGUGGAAGGAAUAUACUAAACAAUAAAAGUGAAUCAUAAAGUUACACAAUAACCAUCUCCAAAAAGGAGUACACAAAAGGGGGGGCACUACACAUGGAUACAACUCUCAACCUCUCCAAAAAGAAAACAACAAGAGGUAGACCACCUAUCAACGCAUCCCUCGAUAGCAAGCUAGCUCGAGGCAAUACCCUUUCCGCGGUCCCUAGCCUCUCCCGGCGUGGAAGGCUCUGAAAUAAGACAUAAAACAGAGGGCGUGAGAACUAUAAUUUAUAGUUCCCAGUGGGCAAUUACUGACCUCAGCUUAAUGCACUACUAGCCCCCAGAAGAAAAGGGUAAGUAUGGAAAUGACGAUAAUAAUAAUAAUAAACCGUAAGUGAAAGAGCAAGUAUUGUUUGCUAAAUUUACUAUGCCAUAAACCAUAAGAUGUCAAUAUAUUGUACAUAUAUUCUAUCAAGAUGUAGUAUAUCCAAUGCAUGACUACUAUGUCCCAACGUGGCAAGCAAGUAGAUAACAUGAUCCAUUCUAUCAAUAUAUGAUGAUUAUGCUCUAUCAUGGCAACCAAGUAUACUAUGAUGCAACAGGCAAAUUAUCAAGUAUACUACAUGUCUCAACACUAUGCUAUAAGCAUGUCAAAGUAAUCCAACUACUAAUCCUAUCUAGUAGUGAUUGUAAUUUUCCGGUU